rfam:Aedes aegypti strain Liverpool supercont1.150 genomic scaffold, whole genome shotgun sequence.
UGCUCUGUAGCUUAGUUGGUUAAAGCGCCGGUCUAGCGUACACGGAGUCGUGUGUUCGAGUCUCACUAGAACGC